UACACGCUCCCACCGCGACAGCGCACGCCUCCACUUACGUUAUUGCCGGACUUUAUGUUGUUAUACAGUAGGACGUGACCGGUCUUUUUCCCGUCCAAGAGGCAGAGGUGAAGAUAACCGGAUUAUGAAUUAUGAUCAUUCCUACUUGGAGGGAUUCCCCACUACUGUUAUUCAUUUAUUAAUAGAUAAAAGGUGAAGAGGGUCCAUGACAGAAAGGCUGUGUAAGAGCUUCCUGCUCAGUAAAGAGCUACUCCAGCCCUAUCUCUCUCUCUCACACACACACACACACACACACACACACACACACACACACACACACACACACACACACACACACAAUCUACUGUCUCUCUCUGACUUCCAGCUUUGCUUUCCUUUGUUUUCUGGAGACCCAGGUUGACACCUUGGCCCUUGACCCCCGCCCUGAUCCUCCUCAACCCAGCGCACCCAAUACCUCUCAGCUGGAAACACCCCGCCAGCCACUGCUGGCUCUAUCAACAUAUUAUGUGUAUUCGUCUCAGAACAAUAGCUGAGAUUUGAGAGAGUCGUAAAAAGGGGAAAUAUUAUGUCACAAUGAAAGGGAUAAUAAAGAAUCUGUGUCUCCAGGA